UACAGAGGUCUCAAGCGUUGUUCGGACUCAUUGGGCGUAAAGGGUGCGUAGGUGGCGCUGUAAGUCGGGUGUGAAAUUUCGGAGCUUAACUCCGAAACUGCAUUCGAUACUGCGGUGCUUGAGGACUGGAGAGGAGACUGGAAUUCAUGGUGUAGCAGUGAAAUGCGUAGAGAUCAUGAGGAAGACCAGUGGCGAAGGCGGGUCUCUGGACAGUGACUGACGCUGAGACGCGAAAGCGUGGGGAGCAAACAGG
rnacentral:rRNA from 1 species